ACCCCCCUAAAGCCUGGAGGCGAGGCGAAGGAAAGACCCACUGUUUCGUCUCUCUUUCCAAAGGCUUUGAGAAAGAGCGCUGUCUGUCUCGACGGCGACGGCGACGAGGACGGCGACGAGGGCCGACGGGAGCGAUGCGAGCGCGAUCGCGGCCGCGAUCGGCGAUUAGAGCGAGCGGCCUGCGCGGGGCGCCGCCGUGCAAUGCGCGUGCGAGGGCGGAGGAGGCAGACGGAGAAGGUCGUUGAUGGCCUUGCACCACCACCGGUUGCAGAUGAGCUGGCAACCGAGCCUGCUGAGCCUCAAGCGCAAGACCGGUCCCCCUCUCGGCCUCAGGAACCUCGGCAACUCCUGCUACCUCAACAGCGUCCUCCAGUGCCUCACUUACACCCCUCCCCUCGCCAAUUUCUGCCUCAAGAACCUCCACUCCUCCCUAUGCGAUUCGGGUGCGGAUGUGGAGCGGAAGCGAGAUUGUCCUUUCUGUUUACUAGAGAAGCGGAUAGCGCGAUCUCUGAGAUUAGAUCAACCCCAAGAUGCGCCGGCGAAGAUCCAGGGCUGCUUGCGCCUGUACGCCGAGCACUUCCGGUGUGGUCGCCAGGAGGACGCGCACGAGUUCCUCCGUUACGUGAUCGAUGCUUGCCACAACACCUGUCUCCGCCUCAAGAAGCUGCGGCAGCAGCAGCGCAACGGCGCCGAGGCACCCAACUGUGGUGAUUCCGUUGUUAAGGAGAUUUUUGGCGGCGCGCUGCAGAGUCAGGUCAAGUGUUUGUCUUGCGGAGCGGAAUCCAACAAGGUUGAUGAUAUUAUGGAUAUUAGUCUAGAUGUCUUGCAAAGUAGUUCACUUAAGGAAGCGUUGCACAAAUUUUUCCAGCCAGAAGUUUUGGAUGGCAACAAUAAGUACAAGUGUGAGAAUUGCAAGAAAUUGGUUGUGGCUAGGAAGCAAAUGUCGGUCUUUCAAGCACCUAAUGUUCUUGUAAUCCAGUUUAAGAGGUUCGAAGGUAUAUAUGGUGGGAAGAUCGAUAAGGCUAUUUCGUUUGAAGAAGUUUUGGUGCUUUCAAGCUUCAUGUGCAAAGAAAGCCAGGAUUCGUCACCGGAGUAUAAUCUUUUUGGUACUAUUGUGCAUGCAGGCUGCUCACCAGACUCAGGACACUAUUAUGCUUAUAUAAAGGACGCAGUGGGCCGGUGGUAUUGCUGUGACGAUGCAAGUGUUUCUCUGGCCACUUUGGAUGAGGUCUUAUCAGAAAAGGUCUAUAUCCUGUUUUUCUCUCGCACCAAACAAAGGUCAACAUCUGCCAAUGCAGCUCCUGCUGCCAAUGGAGUAAAAUCUCGUGAUUUGAAUGGCACCAAAGCAUCUAAGAAGCAGUCUUCUGCUCUUCCAUCAAAACCGGCACAAUUAAAACCAUUCACUGAAAAUUCUUCAUGGAAGGAUGUUUCUGCCUCAUCCAAUGGUGAUAAAGUAUCUUCCUGUCCGCGGAUGAAGUUCAGCAUUGCUGGAAAUAUUGGUUCCAAAAGAGUUCCUGCAGUUAGCAAUGGAAAGGUGCACGCACUUAAGAAUCAAUUGGGGGAAAAUAACGGGGAUAUAAAAGGGCCAGCUCCUGUUAACAAGAGUGACAGAGAUCUUUCAACUUCAAUAAACAGGAAUGAUAUUGACAAAGAGAAUAAGAACACCUCCAAUGGGAGGACCCAAGUAAUUGCGCAUUCAAAUCACAACAAUUUGAAAGUCAGCGAUCUUAAUGGUGACAAGGGUCAAGUUCAUUCUUCCCACAAUGGAAAUGGUACCACCGUUGGUACUGCUGGCCCCUGUUCAGUUAAAUCACAUCUCCAUGAGAGGGAUGGUACAACGCACGUCUUAGGAAAAGGGGGAGGGUCUAACCAGCAUGAAUUGCAAAAUGGUAGUUCUAAUCACCUCUCUGAUGUAGCGAAGUCCAAGAGGAAGCUGCAGGAUGACUCCUGCAUAUUGCUGGCACAGGAUGCUCAAUCGCAGGCCAAAGUUGAAGAGCUGAAAGAAAUACUCAAGAAUGAAGCUUCCUCUGUAUUGCGAUCAUGUGGCUGGGCGGAUGACGUUUACGCUGUCAUGCGCACGAAGAAGAAAAUGUGCGCGAGCAAAGCAGACGAGAGUUCACUAAAUUUUGACCAUUUGAGGAAGCUGUUGAUUGCGGAUGCCAAACCAACCUUUAACUCACAAAUUCCAGAAUCAUUGAAAGAGAAAUUAAUUGGACGUCUCCGAUCAUUUAGCCAGGAAAAAGGAUCAUAGCCAUGCCUGGAUCCAUGCGUUAUAUGACAUGAGGAGGCAGUUUUAUGUCCACAGGAUUAUGCACGAACUGAGAGCUUUUAAGACCUGAUACAAUUGGUGUAGUUGGUACUGUUAUGUUCAUGGGAAGCGAUGGCCUCACAGUUUUCUGCCAGUGGGCCUCCUCUAUAAACCGGAUGGUGCCCUGUAACUGCUAUAUGUCGGUAGGACAACAGAUUUACCCUGGCAUUGUGAAAGUGUUUCUCGAUUGACUACCGAGCGAUUUGGAGGUAUCCCCCACGGAUAGCAUUAGAUGGACAAGCAAACGGUCCCACUUUCAAGCUACAAAGAAAUCAACAACUCUCCAAUGCAAAGAAGUCGAGUCAAUUCCGAUGCAAGAACAAUGGUUGUUAUGUAGAUACAAUGCAUUUCCGGAUGAAGUGAUGAAGCGUUUCUCUUCCGGAAGGAUCAGGAACUGAUAUGAAAGUAGAAAGUAAGAAUAAGAAACAUACCAGAAGGGAAAUUGCCGACCGGAUUAUACGUUCCCUGAUUUGGCAAGGAAGGACCCUAAGUCCCACCCACCACUUCAUUAUUCUCGACAGCUUCUGCGUUUUAAUUCAUCGGUUGUUGUAAUCUUAACUUUCCAGUGAAGUUGUGAAGUUCAUUUUGUUCAACCUGAACAUAUGGUGAGCAAGUACAUGUUCCAACUUUAAUCAGAAGUUAUCUUCAGUCA